rnacentral:rRNA from 1 species
UACGUAGGGUGCGAGCGUUGUCCGGAAUUAUUGGGCGUAAAGAGCUCGUAGGCGGUGUGUCGCGUCGGCCGUGAAAACCUGGGGCUUAACUCUGGGCGUGCGGUCGAUACGGGCAUCACUAGAGUUCGGCAGGGGAGACUGGAAUUCCUGGUGUAGCGGUGAAAUGCGCAGAUAUCAGGAGGAACACCGGUGGCGAAGGCGGUUCUCUGGGCAUUACCUGACGCUGAGGAGCGAAAGUGUGGGGAGCGAACAGG